rnacentral:rRNA from 1 species
AUGAAUGGGAGAGCAGACGAUGACUUCAUGAGGGCCUGGCUGAUUGUGGUAGUUUGUACCUUCAUGUGCCCUACAACGAGCUUACAUGUCAGCGCUCGAUGCUACCCAAUAGUCACCGACCUAGAGAAAGUAAAGAGGCUCAACUUCUGUGCAUUCAUAGUGAAUCAGAUAAAAGCUUCAUUAGGGGGUAGCAACAAGAAGAAGGCUAUAAACUGUUGUGUGCACCAUAUGGUCGUGUUAUAUGUCGAUUCUCUGGUGGUAGACAUCGCAGUACCAGAUUUCCCAGUCCGGGUAGAGGCAUGGGACAACAAAUGUAUAGGGCUAGUCGCAAAGGCAAACAAAACCCCCAAGGAGGAUACGGCAAGCUUAGGAAGAAGAGGAAGAUCGCUGCAAUGGUUAGCUCAUUGUGCUCAGAAUGUUCGGAUAGAAUGGUUAUUUUCAUUGAAGAGGUCGGCAGUCUGGAUAGGGAGGAUGCCAGGGACUCUAGGAGCAAUUCACACAGGACAAAGCAUCGCAGGGCUGCAUGCAUUCCAGGCAUAA